rnacentral:rRNA from 1 species
GUCUACGGCCAUGCCACCCUGAAUAAGCCUGAUGUCUGAUCUCGGAAGCUAAGCAGGGUUGGGCCUGGUUAGUACUUGGAUGGGAGACCACCUAGGAAGACCAGGAGCUGUAGGCA